UUGACCACUCAAUAGCUAUGAUCCCAAAAUGUAAAAAUAAAUAAAGGAAUAAAUUUAAGUGAAUCAACCAAGCCACAUGUGUUUUAUUUUUGUCCUUUGGUUUGUUGGCAUCUAAGUCUGUUCACCAUGAGGAGGUGUGUGUACUCGUGGUUUCAUUUCUACUAGAAGUUCCAUGCCAAAACAGUCCCACCAUCAUAAAGAUUCCAUAACUUCUUGAUUCAGUCGUCUGCGGUGGGGCUCGGAAAUCAAUACUUUCAAAAAGUUCUCCAAGGGACUCACAUCCACGCUCGUCUUGGAAACCAUGAAUUGAGAGCGCUCCACAGCAGGUGGCACUUGUGGUGUGAGAGAGACAAAAGCACUUUACGGCAACACUUUAUGACAACCGCUUCACCAAAGGACUGCUCUCAGGCAGCCCCGCGAUUCCAUCGGGCAGGUUCCGCCCUACCCGGGGCUUCCCAUGCUCGCCCUGCAGGACGCGAGGGUCCACGCUCUCCCUGCGUGGACGCCGGUUUGCAUCCUUCGUACUUCCGGGUGUAGCAGCUGGAUCUUGGGCGCAUGCUCAGUUCACAGCUCCGCUGCCUUGUCUGAUAAACGAGCUGAUUUUCUGUGCUCAGGGGCGCUGGAGAGAAUGUGCCUAAGAAGGCUCCCCUUUCAAUGCCUGGAACACCUCGUCCUGGGUUUUGAACCUGAAUGUUCUUCAUGGUGGACGAAGUCACCACAUGGCCCCUGCGAGCACCGGAGCCUCCUAAGGGGUGUUUAGAAGAGGGAGACUCAGGCGGUUCGGGAGACGACUUCCUUCCGUGUCUCUCCACCUGGAGUCACCCCUCAAGGCUAAGGUGGUGCGAGGUCUACACGUGGAAAGAACUGGACAACGUUGGAUAGUGCGAAUUCAGGGAUAUCCUGGGCGUCAGUUGAUGAUGUUCGAUGAGUAGUGACAUCUGAUUAAUAAUCUUGAUGCACACUUCUCACUGAUGAAGAAACUGAAACCCAGAGGAUUCAACCAAGUUAUCCAAAGUCACGUAUCUGAUGAGUGGAAGAUUCUAGGUCUGUAACUAGGCUUGCUUGAUUAUAAAGUCUGCUCUCUGACUGGCAUAUCAUACUGUUCUGCUCCAUGCCUGGCAUAUGACUUAAGGCCCAUAACAAGGAUGCUCACCCUCGCCCGGCUUCCUCAUUCUCUCGAGUAUUUUCAAACACUCUGAAUUUACAGUAUCCAAAUGAAUGCUGUCGUUGAAAGCAGCCGUUACGGAAGUUUGUGUACAUGUAAGAGGGUCUGACGCGCAAACACGAUGCCUUGAGAAUUUUCAAAUCCCCACAUUCACAGGGCAUUGCUGUUCGACUUUUCCCCACAACUGUUGCAAAGCUGAAGUGAAAUGGGCCUGCAGGAGGUCAGUGAGGCUCAGUCAGUGGUUAUGUGACAGGUGCCUGCAAGCUAGCCAAAAAAUUAAAAUCCAAGCUUUGGAAUAAUUGCACAUUAUCGCAUCAUGAAUGUUUAGAGUUGACAAUGAGUAAAUGUUAACUCCAACAGCCUGUUGCGCUGGAUCAGCCCUUGCUCAGGUCUCCUCUUGAGGAUGACGUGCAGUUGAUAUAGCAUGGCAGUUCAAAGCCAGGCCUUUGGAGACUGGCUCCCUUGGCCUGAAGCCUUGGCUCUGUCUUUUUCUAGCUGUGUGAUCCUGGGCUUUAUUUUCCCUUUCUGUGCCUCAGUUUCCUUUACUUUGCAGUGGCGAUGAUGUGACCUGCAUCAUGGGGUUAGUGUGGGCAUUGUGUGAAAUCAUGGGUGUCACAUGCUUAGAACAGUGUCUGGCGCAUGGUAAGAACUCAAGUGUUAGCUAUUUUUAAUACAUAUCACACUGCAAACGUUCUUAACAAGGUUCAUUUAUCUAUAGUCCCAUUGAAUUCUGUUCCUCAGUUUAAUUAUUCAUUUUCUUCACCAGAACUUGGGGUUGCACUGCUUCAUCCAUUUUCAAAUUUCAAGUUUACCUUUGAAAGAAGAGACAUUUCCAUUGGUAAGGAAGGACUGUGGCUGUUUCUGGCAGAAACAAUGGAAUGAAUACGGAACCUCCAUUAUGAUUGUUUUUAAAGGGAUAACACCCAACUUGCAUGUGUAGGUUCUGCAAUGUUGGUGUCAAACACAGUUCUAUUCCUUUAGAGUCAUACCUCAUAAAGGGUGAUAUCUUUGACUUAUUUCAUGAGAUCUCCUACUCCAUUUGUAAUUUCAUGAGCAUAUUGGGAUCUGUCCAAGAUGUCCCGUGCUGCUCUGAAUUAAACACAAGCUCCAAAAGUGUUAGAAAUAACUCCAGCUGUAAUUGCUAUCAGAGGCACCAGGAGUUGAAGCUAGCCCUUACACUUGAGACCGACUGAAAAGAUCAGUGAUCUUUGACCAAUCAUCCUUCUCAAGUGGCUUACACGCAACAGGAUUUACAGUUCUGAGAAACCGCUUUAAACUUCCUCUGCCAUCAGUUUACUUUAGCACACAAGUGAAAGAAUCAGGCAGAGACAAGGUGGUUGUGUUUUUUUCAUACAGAGAUGUGUCUCGGUUUCAUGUUUCCUUAGCAAUUAUAUUAAUACCUAAAGUUUCAUAAAGCUUUAUGCAAAAGUUUGUAAUUCUAUAGCAUCCUUAAUAGUGGUCUUUUACUUAUAUAGACGACUAGUUGGGUUAAAAUGUCAGAUAUUUCUGCAACUAAAAAAUAUUCACUGCCACAACUGAUUUUUCUUUUUCUGAAAAGCUCUCUUGUUUGCAAAAGAGGAGUUAGUGGAAUGCAAAUGGGACAAAUUGUUGCUAUAUUUUGGUUCUUUGGUUAUACAACGCAAAACUGUAGAAGACGAAAUUUGUUUUUUACGUUUUCUGGUUUCCUGUUUUAAUGCACUUCUCUACCUCUUAGCACCUCGUCCUCUGGCCUUUUUAUUGUUGCCUUCCUUUCUCUCUCUCCUGGUCCUCGACAAUAUCUGUCUGUCUCUUUCAGUUCCCAUUGGGCAGGACAUUUAGUCAUCCUGCUGUUCCCCACAGUGCCUAGAACAGUCCCCUCAAAACUCACGAGUGUGCAAUAAUCAUUUCUCCAAUUAAAUUUAAACUAUUUCUCAAUACACUGCUAAUGACCAAUGUUAGCUCAG